AAAUCCGUCGAAUUKUUAAAUCGUGAGGGUUCAAGUCCUUCAUCCCCA
rnacentral:tRNA from 1 species